GAUGAAGAACGUAGCGAAAUGCGAUACUUGGUGUGAAUUGCAGAAUCCCGUGAACCAUCGAGUCUUUGAACGCAAGUUGCGCCUCAAGCCAUUAGGUUGAGGGCACGUCUGCCUGGGCGUCACAUAUCGUUGCCUGAUGCCAGAUUCCUCGUGAUGGGUGACUGUGCAGGGCGAAUGAUGGCUUCCCGUGAGCAUUGUUGCCUCAUGGUUGGUUGAAAAUUGAGUCCUUGGUAGGGAGCGCCGUGAUAGAUGGUGGUUGAGUGACGAACGAGACCCAAUCAUGUGAGACCCCUACCGAAUUUGGCCUUCAUGACCCACAUGCGUCUUUGGAACGCUCAUGACGAGACCUCAGGUCAGGCGGGGCUACCCGCUGAGUUUAAGCAUAUCAAUAAGCGGAGGA
rnacentral:misc_RNA from 1 species